UACGUAGGGGGCGAGCGUUGUCCGAAUUUACUGGGCGUAAAGCGCGCGUAGGCGGUCUCUUAAGUCCGGGGUGAAAGGUUCAGCGCUCAACGCGAACAGUGCCCUGGAGACUGGGGGACUUGAGUGUGGGAGGGGGCAGUGGAAUUCCUGGUGUAGCGGUGAAAUGCGUAGAUAUCAGGAGGAACACCGAUGGCGAAGGCAGCUGCCUGGCCUAACACUGACGCUGAGGUGCGAAAGCGUGGGGAGCGAACGGG
rnacentral:rRNA from 1 species